rnacentral:misc_RNA from 1 species
GAUGAAGAACGCAGCGAAAUGCGAUAAGUAAUGUGAAUUGCAGAAUCCCGUGAACCAUCGAGUCUUUGAACGCAAGUUGCGCCCGAAGCCACUAGGCCGAGGGCACGCCUGCCUGGGCGUCACACGUCGUUGCCCCCCCCCAUCUACUCCUUCGGGAUUGCGGGGGGCGGAUGAUGGCCUCCCGUGCGCCUAGCCGCGCGGUUGGCAUAAAUACCAAGUCCUCGGCGACGCACGCCACGACAAUCGGUGGUUGCGAAACCUCGGUUGCCCGUCGUGUGCGUUCGUCGCGCAUCGAGGGCUCGAAAAAAUGCUCGGCUCCGGCUCGGCUUUCAACGCGACCCCAGGUCAGGCGGGGUUACCCGCUGAAUUUAAGCAUAUCAAUAAGCGGAGGA